CCUUUUGUAUGUUAGUGGUUAAAGUUCUAGUCUGGUAGACCGGAGGUGGUGGGUUCAAUUCCCACCUGAGGCA
rnacentral:tRNA from 1 species